ensembl:snoRNA SNORA73 Small nucleolar RNA SNORA73 family
UCAACGUGGACACUCCUGGGAGGUCACACUCCCUGGGCUCCAUCCAGGGGCCACAGAGGAGCAUGGGGCUCUACCCUGUGAGGUAAAGUCCUUUUCCAAAAUGGUGGACUUAGAGCUGGGCCUGGAGUCUGCACCCGUAUAUUCUUACAGCUUCUUGGAGUCCUGUGUACAAUGGCUGGGGAGACAAAUCACACAGACAACAUCU